UCCACCUCUUAGAUCUCUCUGUCUGCGGAAGCCAGCCACCGCUCUCCAAGGACUCUCAAGCAGCUCCAUCUACAGAUUCACAUGGAGAAGAAUUAAGGGUUCCUGCCCAUCACCAGCACCACUUUGCCAGCCUUGUUCCUUAGAUCCUGGGAUGAGGAGGUGGACCAGCAGAAGGUGGGCUUGGGAAGGCAGCCCGGGGUCCAAAUCCUCCUGGCUCUUCAGCUUAGUGGGUUAGUUAACAUUCAGAAGCCUUCAUCUCCCAUCUGCAAAAUGGGCAUGUCCAACUUAGAAGCUGCCUUGAAGAAAGGGUGUACCCAGCAUGGUGCGUGGAGCCUAAGCAAUCAGUACUUCAGGACUUCACCCGGCCCCUUUCCAAUAACUGCUGCUGUCGCCCUCACAGGAUGUCACCUUCAGUGUCUGAAAGCUGGGUUUGAUGCGUCUGGAAAGGCACCCCUGACAGGCGUCAUUGCCAGGAGCCCCUAAUGCCACCAGCAGCCAGCAGGGGACGGCGUCCUCUGCUCGCUCACUUCUGACCCUUCUCUCGUUGCACCUGGAAUAUGGUGCAGCUGGGAGCAGCCUGGGCUGCGGGGAAGGCUCAGAUUUGGGGACGGCCCUUGCCAGUGACUGUGACCUGGGGUGUCUUGGAAACUCCCAGUCUCAGCUUCUCCAUUUAUAAGAUGAGAAUGAUCAUACCAGCCUCAGGCAAGGUUGUUUGUGCAUUAGUGAAAUCAGACGUAUUAAAUAAAGUACCACAUUGAUCGUGGAGUUGUUGAAUAACCAAGAACACACCUAUCUGUCUCCAAAAAAUAAAUGUUGAAAAGGA